rnacentral:rRNA from 1 species
CAUGUAGGCGGCUAUUUAAGUCUGUCGUGAAAAUGCGGGGCUUAACCCCGUAUGGCGGUAGAAACUGGAUAGCUUGAGCGCAGGAGAGGAAAGGGGAAUUCCCAGUGUAGCGGUGAAAUGCGUAGAUAUUGGGAGGAACACCAGUGGCGAAGACGCCUUUCUGGACUGUGACUGACGCUGAGAUGCGAAAGCCAGGGGAGCGAACG